GUGUGUUCCAGGUAAAUCCGGUUCACUUUAACACUGAGGCGUGACGACGAGGCACUACGGUGCUGAAGCAACAAAUGCCCUGCUUCCAGGAAAAGCCUCUAAGCAUCAGGUAACAUCAAAUCGUACCCCAAACCGACACAGGUGGUCAGGUAGAGAAUACCAAGGCGCUUGAGAGAACUCGGGUGAAGGAACUAGGCAAAAUGGUGCCGUAACUUCGGGAGAAGGCACGCUGACACGUAGGUGAAGUGAUUUACUCACGGAGCUGAAGUCAGUCGAAGAUACCAGCUGGCUGCAACUGUUUAUUAAAAACACAGCACUGUGCAAACACGAAAGUGGACGUAUACGGUGUGACGCCUGCCCGGUGCCGGAAGGUUAAUUGAUGGGGUCAGCGCAAGCGAAGCUCCUGAUCGAAGCCCCGGUAAACGGCGGCCGUAACUAUAACGGUCCUAAGGUAGCGAAAUUCCUUGUCGGGUAAGUUCCGACCUGCACGAAUGGCGUAAUGAUGGCCAGGCUGUCUCCACCCGAGACUCAGUGAAAUUGAACUCGCUGUGAAGAUGCAGUGUACCCGCGGCAAGACGGAAAGACCCCGUGAACCUUUACUAUAGCUUGACACUGAACAUUGAGCCUUGAUGUGUAGGAUAGGUGGGAGGCUUUGAAGUGUGGACGCCAGUCUGCAUGGAGCCGACCUUGAAAUACCACCCUUUAAUGUUUGAUGUUCUAACGUGGACCCGUAAUCCGGGUUGCGGACAGUGUCUGGUGGGUAGUUUGACUGGGGCGGUCUCCUCCUAAAGAGUAACGGAGGAGCACGAAGGUUGGCUAAUCCUGGUCGGACAUCAGGAGGUUAGUGCAAUGGCAUAAGCCAGCUUGACUGCGAGCGUGACGGCGCGAGCAGGUGCGAAAGCAGGUCAUAGUGAUCCGGUGGUUCUGAAUGGAAGGGCCAUCGCUCAACGGAUAAAAGGUACUCCGGGGAUAACAGGCUGAUACCGCCCAAGAGUUCAUAUCGACGGCGGUGUUUGGCACCUCGAUGUCGGCUCAUCACAUCCUGGGGCUGAAGUAGGUCCCAAGGGUAUGGCUGUUCGCCAUUUAAAGUGGUACGCGAGCUGGGUUUAGAACGUCGUGAGACAGUUCGGUCCCUAUCUGCCGUGGGCGCUGGAGAACUGAGGGGGGCUGCUCCUAGUACGAGAGGACCGGAGUGGACGCAUCACUGGUGUUCGGGUUGUCAUGCCAAUGGCACUGCCCGGUAGCUAAAUGCGGAAGAGAUAAGUGCUGAAAGCAUCUAAGCACGAAACUUGCCCCGAGAUGAGUUCUCCCUGAGACUUUAGGUCUCCUGAAGGAACGUUGAAGACGACGACGUUGAUAGGCCGGGUGUGUAAGCGCAGCGAUGCGUUGAGCUAACCGGUACUAAUGAACCGUGAGGCUUAACCUUACAACGCCGAAG
rnacentral:rRNA from 1 species